CAAAAUUAAUCCAACAAUGACUCCAAAUAAACAAGCAACAUAAUGGUGAUAAACCACAAAACCAACAAUAAUAAAAUAAAGUAAUGACAUGAUUUCCCCAAAAUCAGUCCAACAAAGUGGCAGCAAACAUACAAGAGUAGUAAAAUGAUCACGAACACAUAUAAAAUAUUUAUACAAGAACAAAAAUAACUGUCGAUUUCAAUAGAGAUAUGCCAAAAAAUCCAACUCCG
rnacentral:lncRNA from 1 species